GAAAGGAGAUAAGAACAAAGUAUCCAUUGAAAAACAUUCAAGUUUACAUCCACCAAAAAGGAUUGGAGCCUUUCUCAAAGUAAAAAGAGGAGUAAUUGCCCCAACAUCAAAUUCAGAAGUACUCCUCUCAUUCAAGGCUCGAUUAACUGAUCCUUAACCAUUAGCAUAUUCAAGAGAGGAUCUAGAAGAGAAAAAGCUACAUCCU
rnacentral:lncRNA from 1 species